AUGAACGCUGGCGGCGUGGAUAAGGCAUGCAAGUCGAACGGACUUCUUUGAAUUGAGAUUGAGAUUAUAUCAAGGUCAAUUUUCUCUAGAAGUUAGUGGCGAACGAGGUAGUAAUACAUAGGAACUUCUCCCAAAGUCGUGAAUAAUUCGUCGAAAGACGGACUAAUACACGAUAGUCCCUCCGGGGUAAAGUUUUAACGCUUUGGGAAAGGCCUAUGCGAUAUCAGCUAGUUGGUAGUGUAAUGGACUACCAAGGCUAUGACGUCUAGGGGAGGUGAGAGCCUGACCCCCACCGAUGGUACUGAGACACGGACCAUACACCUACGGGUGGCUGCAGUCGAGAAUCUUCCACAAUGGACGAAAGUCUGAUGGAGCGACGCCGCGUGAUUGAUGAAGUCCCUUUGGGACGUAAAGAUCUUUUAUGAGGGAAGAAGUUUAUUGACUGUACCUCAUGAAUAAGAGGCUCCUAAUCUCGU
rnacentral:rRNA from 1 species